AACGAACGCUGGCGGCAUGCCUUACACAUGCAAGUCGAACGAGAACUUCGGGUCUAGUGGCGCACGGGUGCGUAACGCGUGGGAACCUGCCCUUAGGUUCGGAAUAACUCCCCGAAAGGGGUGCUAAUCCCGGAUAAUGUCUUCUGACCAAAGAUUUAUCGCCCUUGGAUGGGCCCGCGUUGGAUUAGCUAGUUGGUAGGGUAACAGCCUACCAAGGCGACGAUCCAUAGCCGGUCUGAGAGGAUGAGCAGCCACACUGAGACUGAGACACGGCCCGGAAUCUUACGGGAGGCAGGAGUGGGGAAUAUUGGACUGUGGGCGAAAGCCUGAUCCAGCAAUGCCGCGUGAGUGAUGAAGGCCUUAGGGUUGUAAAGCUCUUUUACCCGGGAUGAUAAUGACAGUACCGGAAGAAUAAGCACCGGCUAACUCCGUG
rnacentral:rRNA from 1 species